GCCGGGCACGGUGGCUCAUGCCUGUAAUCCCAGCACUUCGGGAGGCUGAGGCAGGUAGAUCACCUGAAGUCAGGAGUUCGAGACCAACCUGGCCAACAUGGCGAAACCCUGUCUCUACUAAAAAUACAAAAANNNNNNNNNNAUUUUUAGUAGAGACAGGGUUUCGCCAUGUUGGCCAGGUUGGUCUCGAACUCCUGACUUCAGGUGAUCUACCUGCCUCAG
rnacentral:SRP_RNA from 1 species